AUUGAACGCUGGCGGCAGGCUUAACACAUGCAAGUCGAGCGGGGAAGGGUAGCUUGCUACCUGACCCAGCGGCGGACGGGUGAGUAAUGCUUAGGAAUCUGCCUAUUAGUGGGGGACAACAUUCCGAAAGGAAUGCUAAUACCGCAUACGCCCUACGGGGGAAAGCAGGGGAUCUUCGGACCUUGCGCUAAUAGAUGAGCCUAAGUCAGAUUAGCUAGUUGGUGGGGUAAAGGCCUACCAAGGCGACGAUCUGUAGCGGGUCUGAGAGGAUGAUCCGCCACACUGGGACUGAGACACGGCCCAGACUCCUACGGGAGGCAGCAGUGGGGAAUAUUGGACAAUGGGCGCAAGCCUGAUCCAGCCAUGCCGCGUGUGUGAAGAAGGCCUUUUGGUUGUAAAGCACUUUAAGCGAGGAGGAGGCUACUUGGAUUAAUACUCUAGGAUAGUGGACGUUACUCGCAGAAUAAGCACCGGCUAACUCUGUGCCAGCCGCCGCGGUAAAAC
rnacentral:rRNA from 1 species